UAAUACAGAGGGUGCAAGCGUUAAUCGGAAUUACUGGGCGUAAAGGGAGCGUAGGUGGCUCUAUAAGUCAGAUGUGAAAUCCCCGGGCUUAACCUGGGAACUGCAUCUGAAACUGUAGAGCUAGAGUAUGUGAGAGGAAGGUAGAAUUCCAGGUGUAGCGGUGAAAUGCGUAGAGAUCUGGAGGAAUACCGAUGGCGAAGGCAGCCUUCUGGCAUAAUACUGACACUGAGGCUCGAAAGCGUGGGUAGCAAACAGGAUUAGAUACCCUGGUAGUCCACGCCGUAAACGAUGUCUACUAGUCGUUGGGUCCCUUGAGGACUUAGUGACGCAGCUAACGCAAUAAGUAGACCGCCUGGGGAGUACGGCCGCAAGGUUA
rnacentral:rRNA from 1 species